rnacentral:rRNA from 1 species
AGCAGCCGCGGUAAUUCCAGCUCCAAUAGCGUAUAUUAAAGUUGUUGCAGUUAAAAAAGCUCGUAGUUGAAUUUCGGGACCAAUCUGCCGGUCGUGCCUCCGGUACGCACUGGUUUUAUUGGUUUCUCCCUUCUGACGAACCAUGAUGUCAUUAAUUUGGUGUCAUGGGGAAUCAGGACUGUUACUUUGAAAAAAUUAGAGUGUUUAUAGCAGGCUCACGCUUGAAUACAUUAGCAUGGAAUAAUGAAAUAGGACGUUUGACCCUAUUUUGUUGGUUUCUAGGAUCGACGUAAUGAUUAAUAGGGAUAGUUGGGGGCAUUAGUAUUCAAUUGUCAGAGGUGAAAUUCUUGGAUUUAUUGAAGACUAACUACCGCGAAAGCAUUUGCCAAGGAUGUUUUCAUUAAUCAAGAACGAAAGUUAGGGGAUCGAAGACGAUCAGAUACCGUCGUA